CAGCCGCCGCGGUAAUCCGAAGGGGGCUAGCGUUGUUCGGAAUUACUGGGCGUAUAGCGCACGUAGGCGGAUAUUUAAGUCGGGGGUGAAACCCCAGAGCUCAACUCUGGAACUGCCUUUGAUACUGGGUAUCUUGAGUAUGGAAGAGGUGAGUGGAAUUCCGAGUGUAGAGGUGAAAUUCGUAGAUAUUCGGAGGAACACCAGUGGCGAAGGCGGCUCACUGGUCCAUUACUGACGCUGAGGUGCGAAAGCGUGGGGAGCAAACAGGAUUAGAUACCCGGUAGUCCCUGUCUCUUAUACA
rnacentral:rRNA from 1 species